rnacentral:rRNA from 1 species
CCUACGGGAGGCAGCAGUGAGGCAUAUUGGUCAAUGGGCGCGAGCCUGAACCAGCCAAGUAGCGUGAAGGAUGACUGCCCUACGGGUUGUAAACUUCUUUUAUAAAGGAAUAAAGUGAGGCACGUGUGCCUUUUUGUAUGUACUUUAUGAAUAAGGAUCGGCUAACUCCGUGCCAGCAGCCGCGGUAAUACGGAGGAUCCGAGCGUUAUCCGGAUUUCUUGGGUUUAAAGGGAGCGUAGAUGGGUUGUUAAGUCAGUUGUGAAAGUUUGCGGCUCAACCGUAAAAUUGCAAUUGAUACUGGCAGUCUUGAGUACAGUGUAGGUAGGCGGAAUUCGUGGUGUAGCGGUGAAAUGCUUAGAUAUCACGAAGAACCCCGAUUGCGAAGGCAGCUUACUAAACUGUGACUGACAUUGAUGCUCGAAAGUGUGGGUAUCAAACAGGAUUAGAUACCCCUGUAGUC